rnacentral:misc_RNA from 1 species
AACGCACAUUGCGCCCCCUGGCAUUCCGGGGGGCAUGCCUGUCCGAGCGUCAUUGCUACCCUCAAGCGCGGCUUGUGUGUUGGGCGCUGUCCCCCCGGGGACAGGCCUGAAAGGCAGUGGCGGCGUCGCGUCCGGUCCUCGAGCGUAUGGGGCUUUGUCACUCGCUCUGUGAGGUCCGGCCGGGGCCUGUCUACCCCCAAUCUUUUCUCAAGGUUGACCUCGGAUCAGGUAGGGAUACCCGCUGAACUUAA